UUUACCCAAGUUAAAAAGAAAACAAUAGUUUAUUAUUUAUGUAUAGCUUUAAAACAAAUGUUUUCGAUAAAUUCCAGAAUGUAUUUCUAAAGUUUCCUAAUUAAAGUUUUGGUGUGGCAGCGUCGCGCGUGGGCGACACGAAAAGCGUCGGCCUUGGAUGCAACGCAAACCGAAAUGCCGGACGAGAAACAAAACGGCAUAAAAGACGGAAAGGGGCACCAAAAUAAACGUGUAAAUUACAUAUUCACAUAUUCAUACACCGAAUAAAUGAACACCGAAGCCA